AUACUCCAUAUGGUUGCAAAAUUUAUAUUACUUCAGUGCCCUCAGAGAAACAUCAUCCUAAACAAAAAAUAUCACAACAUGAUCUGCGUAUGCAUAGAGUGAUUUAUUUAAAAAGCACACUGUAUUAACAGAACUUCAAGCUUUGUGCUCUUUCUUUGACAAAGAGGAAUUGCUAUCUCAGCAGAUGGUCCUGUGAAUGUAAUUUGCACUUGCUUUGCCAAGUGACAUGAAACUCAACUCUGUACCCUUGUCCCUGUGAGUUGUCUUGUUAGUGUAUUUGGACUGCAGGAGCUGAUCUGCAACAGUCAGAUGAAGCAUCAGAAUGAUUUAACACGUGAAAAUAUUGAGGAAUUUUCCUGCUUAAGGGAACUUUUAAAUGCACUCCUAUCACUUCCUCUGUUUGCUCAAUCCUAUUUAAAUAACAAUAUGUCAAACAUGCCCAGUCAUCAGUUAGCAAGUGUCACUACAGAGAUUUUCAUAUUUAAGUUUCCCUACAUAGCUGUGUAAAGAUUUUAUCUUUUCCCCAAAUAUUAACUUUUAUUUUUUAAGGUUUCUGAUAAUGAGCUCAGGCACAUGAAUUGUUCAGACUACCUCAGGAAAAACAUUCAUUAAGAAGACAAAUGCACUUAACAGACAGCUCAUCGAGCUGAUUACAUACUUUCAGUUUCACCUGCAAGAGAUUAAAGUUGAAUAAAUUCAUGUGUUUCCCUGUAAUUACAUAUGCAGACACCUGCAAUUCCUUACUUUUCACUUCCUCAAAGAAGUAGAUCUAAUUUAUGGUGUUUAAGUGGUACUGAAUAUGCAUUGGCACCAAAUAGGCUUCAAUCUUAAUCUCCCCCAAAAUAAAAAUAGUUGAUUUAAUAACAGUGAGAACAGUGAGAAACCUUGAGAAUCAAUUGCAAGCAAUUGUCUGGCAGUAUUUAAUGUAGUAUUUCUAACUGUGAUUUAAUGUUGUACUUCUAAAUGUGGAUACACCAAUUACUAUGGCAUCCUGAAUUAUUCUUGAGAGUAGAAAGUUCAUUUUUGAAGAUGCUGAUCUGGACUCACAAAGACAGUGGUUGUUGGUGCAAUCUCUGUGCUGAACUUAAGUGCUCAGCUUCUCCUUCCUCUCUACAAAAGCUUGGGCUGUUGCUAUACAAGAAUCCUAUUUUUGUUCUGCAUGAAACAUGACUGGAAACUUCACCUUGAGAACCUUCCAUCAAAACCAGAGUAAGUCAGGCAAAGUGUUCAAGCACUAAUCGGGUGCAGUGGAAGGCACAAGGCACAACAUGACCAUCUCAUAAGAACAGCUAACUCCAAUCAAAUCAGUGAUUCAAUUAUCCCAGUGUCCUGCCUCCAACUGCUGCCAAAAACAGGCGUCUGGGGAAGGAGGUAAGAAUAGAAAGAGCAUUUAAUGACAAUUUCCCAAGAUACUUUUGCAGCCUCUGGCAAUUUGCAAUUGCUCUUGUUUCCCUAUGGAACCCAACUAAAAUCUGUCAGUCUCAGAUUUCAUUACUGUGAGACGUGAAGUCAGCCUUCUCAGUGUGAACUGUUAAACACCUGAAGUGCAGAGCAAGAGGAGCUCGUGCAAGACCUCAGGUUCUGCAUCUGUGAAAUAUAGCCUGCAAAGGAACCCUAAAUGGCAGUGGAAGCUGGGCAGGGGUCUGGAGUAAUGACAUGGUACAGACACUCCCAUACUUUUCCUCUCAGGAUGAAAAUGAAGACAGCAGUAUUCAACCUGGUGGGGUGGGAUUAUUCUCAGAGACUGUCUUCAGCAUAAAGAGAAAAGAGUGAGAGAAGAUUGCAUUUGUAGAUCUCUGGUGAUGAGUUACACAGAGUUACAUGGUAAUUCUAUAAUCAAUAUAGAGUUACAUGGUAACCAAGUAAAAAGAAUAUGAUUGUAGAUAGACUU
rnacentral:lncRNA from 1 species